AUUAAUUUCCUCAUUUUAUGGGUAAGGAGAUUUGUCUAAGGUCCAAGAGCUAGGGAGUAGCACGUCUGGAAUCCAAAGCCUGUCUUAUCUCAAGCCUGUUGUGAAUUGAGAGAAGAUAAAUCCAUGCAUGACUCCUGCGUUUUGGGGGGUCUAUGACAACACAGAGAUGUUUAAGGUGAGUGAGGGUCAGCUGUGUCCUCAGACCUCAUUAUCAUAAUAUUAAGGAAGCAAUUCUCUGAACAAAUUCUUCCCCAAACACACACACACACACACACAUUUUUUUUUUUUCCCCUUAACAAACAUUCUUUCAGAAAGCAGCUGAGGACAGUUCAUGCAACUGUGAGCUUGAUGAAUUCCACCCCUUGAUGAAAUUCCCCGGAGAGCAGAUGCAACAAUAUUCCUGCAGAGGCCCAACCCUGAUACCCGAGGGCUGGCAUUAGACAACCAGAAAUCCUCUGAGCUAGCAGCUGGUCAUGGAAUUGUUUAUGAGCGCUCUCCCCGUGGGCGUGGUCACAGGCCUCACUGGAUGUCUUCCGCCUGUUUUUGCACAGCCUCGGAAUCCAGAAGCCUCGCCUGACAGCUGCCGGUCCUAAGUCAUCCACUAACGGGGCCCCAAGCAGGAUGCUUCAUUUCCUCUUCUGCAGACAGACAUAUUGAGCUGGUCUAUUCAUUUAAAAGCAGAGCAGCAUUGCUGUAAUUUAUGGAAAACGCGUCAGAUCCUCAACCUCCUUGAGAGUUCCAUUUUCCCAUGCAUGUGUGAACCACAGCGAAAGGUAGCAUUUCAGGCUAGAGAUCAGUAAGAGGAGCUUUCAGCAUGAAUGAUUCCCUUUUUCUGCAAAUGCCUGGUGCAUUUACACUCUGCACGCAACAAGCAGAGUGCUAUGAAUAUAGCAGACAAUGAGUCUUGAUGGAUUAAUUUCUUCUUUGGAGGUUGCGGAAGCUUUUGUGGACGGGGUGUUUUCUCUGAGAGGAAGCUUCAUGAGGACAGGAACUGUGUAUUAAACACUUUUGCAUCUUGCACAA